UCCUACGGGAGGCAGCAGUGGGGAAUUUUGGACAAUGGGCGCAAGCCUGAUCCAGCAAUGCGGGUUGUAAAGCACUUUUGGCGGGAGCGAAACGGCGUCGCUAAUGACGGUACCCGCAGAAUAAGCACCGGCUAACUACGUGCCAGCAGCCGCGGUAAGACGUAGGGUGCGAGCGUUAAUCUGUAAGACAGGUGUGAAAUCCCCGGGCUUAACCUGGGAACUGCACUUGUGACUGCAAGGCUAGAGUGUGUCAGAGGGAGGUGGAAUUCCGCGUGUAGCAGUGAAAUGCGUAGAUAUGCGGAGGAACACCGAUGGCGAAGGCAGCCUCCUGGGAUAACACUGACGCUCAGGGAGCAAACAGGAUUAGAUACCCUGGUAGUCCACGCCCUAAACGACUUGGUAACGCAGCUAACGCGUGAAGUUGACCGCCUGGGGAGUACGGCCGCAAGGUU
rnacentral:rRNA from 1 species